GAGGUUCAAGUGAUGAUUUUGCAUAGUUCAAAUGAUACUCUGUGAUUAAACAUCUUUUUAGUCUUUCGCUCCUAUCUGAUGAACCCU